AAACCGCAUGAAAAAUGUAAAGCGUUAUGUGGAUCGAACAUUAGUAGAGAAGCGUGUGAGCCAGCUGCCAAGAAAAGCCGCUAUUGUUUCAUAAGUACCCGUACCGUAACCGACACAGGUGGAUGAGGAGAGAAUCCUAAGGCCGGCGGGAGAAGUGUUGUUAAGGAACUCGGCAAAAUGACUCCGUAACUUCGGGAGAAGGAGUGCCACAGAGAUGUGGCCGCAGAGAAAUGGCCCAAGCAACUGUUUAGCAAAAACACAGGUCUAUGCAAAACCGAAAGGUGAGGUAUAUGGGCUGACGCCUGCCCGGUGCUGGAAGGUUAAGAGGAGAGGUUAGAGCAAUCGAAGCUUUGAAUUUAAGCCCCAGUAAACGGCGGCCGUAACUAUAACGGUCCUAAGGUAGCGAAAUUCCUUGUCGGGUAAGUUCCGACCCGCGCGAAAGGCGUAAUGAUUUGGGCACUGUCUCAACAACACACCCGGUGAAAUUGAAAUACCAGUGAAGAUGCUGGUUACCUGCGCCAGGACGGAAAGACCCCAUGGAGCUUUACUCCAGUUUGAUACUGGGAUUCGGUACUGUCUGUACAGGAUAGGUGGGAGGCUAGGAAAUGGUGACGCCAGUUGCCAUGGAGCCAACCUUGGGAUACCACCCUUACAGUACUGGGUUUCUAACCUGCAGCCGUAACCCGGCUGGGGGACAAUGUCUGACGGGGAGUUUGACUGGGGCGGUCGCCUCCGAAAGAGUAUCGGAGGCGCUCAAAGGUUCCCUCAGAACGGUUGGAAACCGUUCGAAGAGUGCAAAGGCAGAAGGGAGCUUGACUGCGACACCGACGGGUGGAGCAGAUACGAAAGUAGGACUUAGUGAUCCGGUGGUAUAAAGUGGGAUUGCCAUCGCUCAACGGAUAAAAGCUACCCUGGGAUAACAGGCUUAUCACUCCCAAGAGUUCACAUCGACGGAGUGGUUUGGCACCUCGAUGUCGGCUCAUCGCAUCCUGGAGCUGUAGCAGGUUCCAAGGGUUGGGCUGUUCGCCCAUUAAGGCGGUACGCGAGCUGGGUUCAGAACGUCGUGAGACAGUUCGGUCCCUAUCCGGCGUGGGCGUAGGAUAUUUGAGAGGAGCUGUCCUUAGUACGAGAGGACCGGGAUGGACAAACCUCUGGUAUAUCUGUUGUUUUACCAAAGGCAUGGCAGAGUAGCCAAGUUUGGCAGGGAUAAACGCUGAAGGCAUCUAAGCGUGAAGCCCCCCUCAAGAUAAGAUAUCCCAUCUUCGGAGUAAGACCCCUUGAAGACUACAAGGUUGAUAGGCUUCAGGUGUAAGUGUGGUAACGCACUCAGCUGAGAAGUACUAAUAGGUCGAGGACUUAU
rnacentral:rRNA from 1 species